rnacentral:rRNA from 1 species
ACGCGAAGAACCUUACCUACUCUUGACAUCCAGAGAACUUAGCAGAGAUGGUUUGGUGCCUUCGGGAACUCUGAGACAGGUGCUGCAUGGCUGUCGUCAGCUCGUGUUGUGAAAUGUUGGGUUAAGUCCCGCAACGAGCGCAACCCUUAUCCUUUGUUGCCAGCGGUCCGGCCGGGAACUCAAAGGAGACUGCCAGUGAUAAACUGGAGGAAGGUGGGGAUGACGUCAAGUCAUCAUGGCCCUUACGAGUAGGGCUACACACGUGCUACAAUGGCGCAUACAAAGAGAAGCGAACUCGCGAGAGCAAGCGGACCUCAUAAAGUGUGUCGUAGUCCGGAUUGGAGUCUGCAACUCGACUCCAUGAAGUC